AGCCACCGCGGUAAUUCCAGCUCCAAUAGCGUAUAUUUAAGUUGUUGCAGUUAAAAAGCUCGUAGUUGAAUUUCGGGGUUAGUAGGUUGGUCAUGCCUCUGGUAUGUACUGGUCUCACUGAUUCCUCCUUCCUGAUGAGCCGUAAUGCCAUUAAAUAUGGUGUUGCGGGGAAUUUGGACUGUUACCUUGAAAAAAUUAGAGUGCUUAAAGCAGGCUAACGCCUGAAUACACUAGCAUGGAAUAAUGAAAUAGGACGUUCGAUCCUAUUUUGUUGGUUUCUAGGAUUGACGUAAUGAUUAAUAGGGAUAGUUGGGGGCAUUAGUAUUCAAUUGUCAGAGGUGAAAUUCUUGGAUUUAUUGAAGACUAACUUCUGCGAAGAGCAUAUGCCAAGGAUGUUUUCAUUAAUCAAGAACGAAAGUUAGGGGAUCGAAGACGAUCAGAUACCGUACGUAGUCUUAACCAUAAACUAUGCCGACUAGGGAUCGGAUGAUGUUAAUUUUUUAAUGACUCA
rnacentral:rRNA from 1 species